rnacentral:rRNA from 1 species
AUGAAAGGCCUCUUGAAAGGGAGAUUUUUGCCCGCUGAAUAUGACCAGAUCCUAUUUAUCCAAUUUCAAAAUUGUGCUCAAGGAAAUAGGACUGUUUCAGAUUACACGGAGGAGUUUCUAAGGCUACAAGUGAGGUGCAACCUUGCUGAAACUGAAGAGCAACAAGUUGCAAGGUACAUCAAUGGUCUCAAUGAUGCUAUUCAAGAUCGAUUGAUGAUGCAACAAAUCUGGUCCGUUGAUCAAGCACAAGCUCUAGCCUUAAAGGCAGAGAGGUUUGUGAGGAUGAGAAAGACAACUAAGGCUCCAUAUCCUCCAUAUCCUCAUACCGAAGGCUCAUCUAGGAGCCAACCUAAUAGAGUGGAAGAAAAUACCACUCCACCAAAGACAAAACAGCCCAUCCCGAAGCAAACUAGAGGCAAGGGUAAGGCAAAUGAAGGCCCAAAGUUCUAUAAAUGUGGUAAAGAGGGACACAUAUCCAGCGGCUGCCCACUAAGGGAAUUUGUUAACAUGACUAUCCAUGAUGGUGAAAGCGAUGAGGAAGAAUACGAAUCUGAAGAUGUAGACGGACAAGAGGUUUUUCAAGAAGAAGGUGAAGAGGUGGUAUGUGUGAUCCAGCGUGUCCUAUGUUCCACACCACAACUCGAUGACACACAACGGAAGAAAAUAUUUGAGAGCAAAUGCACGGUGAAUGGCAAGGUAUGCAAACUAGUGAUUGAUAGUUGCAGCUGCGAGAAUCUUAUCUCCCAGAAGUUGGUGGACCAUUUAAAGCUUGAAACCCAUGAUCAUCCAAAUCCCUACACUAUUGGAUGGAUCAAGAAAGGAGUGAAUAUGAGGAUCACCAAACAAUGCAACCUACCACUUUCUUUGGGUAAGCAUUAUCGCUCAAAUGUGUUGUGUGAUGUGGUUGACAUAGAUGCCAGCCAUGUUCUUCUUGGGAGGCCUUGGCAAUUUGAUGUGGAUACUACACACAAGGGCAAGGAAAAUUCUUACUCUUUCAUUUGGAACAAGAGAAGGAUCAUUAUCUUACCAAACAAACCCGAAGGUAAUACCUCUAAGGAGGAGGGGAAAACUAUGUUAACUAUCUCCCAUACCUCUCAUGAGUUUAUGGAAGACUUGAAGGAGGCAGAUUUGUGUGUUGCACUUGUUGUAAAGGGAGAAGAGCACCUGACUGUUGAAAUUCCAGCAAAGGUACGUGGUUUAUUGGCAGAAUUUCAGAACAUACUUGGGGAGCCACAUGGCUUGCCACCGAUGAGAGGAAUUCAACAUAGAAUUGACUUAAUUCCGGGAGCAAGUCUUCCUAAUCUUCCACACUAUCGAAUGAGCCCAAAGGAGCAUGAUAUAUUGAAGGAGAAAGUGGAGGAAUUGUUGCAAAAGGGGCACAUUCGAGAAAGUAUUAGCCCAUGUGCUGUACCAGCCCUACUCGCGCCAAAGAAAGAUGGAUCUUGGCGCAUGUGUACGGACAGUAGAGCCGUUAACAAGAUCACCGUAAGGUAUAGGUUCCCUAUUCCCCGUCUGGAUGAUAUGUUGGAUCAGCUUAGUGGAGCAAGAGUGUUCACAAAGCUAGAUUUAAGAAGUGGAUAUCAUCAAAUCCGUAUAAGACCCGGGGAUGAAUGGAAGACCGCCUUCAAGACAAAGGAAGGGUUAUUUCAAUGGCUAGUCAUGCCAUUUGGACUCUCAAAUGCACCAAGUACCUUUAUGCACUUAAUGAAUCAAGUCCUUAGACCCUUCUUAUCCCACUUUGUUGUGGUCUAUUUCGAUGACAUCUUGAUCUAUAGCAAGGAUGAGGAUGAACACUUUGAUCACAUUCGGAAGGUGCUAGAAGUACUAAGGGAAAAUGAGCUCUACGUCAACUUGAAGAAAUGUGUUUUCCAAGGAUGUAGUCAAACGUCUUCACGAUCCAACCGAUCUAGUACCGAACGUACGACACCUCCGAGUUCAGUACACGUUCAGCUCGAUGACGUCCCUCGAACUCUUGAUCCAAAGAGGGUCGAGGGAGAGUUUCGUCAGCACGACGGCGUGGCGACGGUGAUGGUGAUGUGA